rnacentral:tRNA from 1 species
GGGGUUCUGGAUUAGUGGUAGAGCACUCACCUAGCAUGUGUGAGGCACUGGGUUCGAUCCUCAGCACCACA